UGCACAGCUUGGAGCUGCUGUGACGUCCUGACCAUAUGUGCACGUAGACACAAACUGGAGCACUUCAACCACCUCUGCCCGGACUCGGACUGUGGCCUCAUUAAAUAUUUAGCAGGAUUUGUAAUAAUUUGUCAGCAGAGAGCGAGUCACGGUCAGAUCGGCGGUAACUCUGCACCACAGUUCCUGAAGAGCAGAUCUCAGACGAUCGAUGGACGCUCUCUCCGUUAGCGUCAGCGUGAAAGCUGCGCUGAUGUCAGAGUAUUUACAGCAGGAGCUGUGUUUAUUCAGGUGUGGAUGCAGAAUCAUAGUCACACCCAGAGUUCUGAGCUGCUCAUUAACCUAGCAGAGGUGCUGCCGGAGCUGACAUCAUGCCACUUGUCACCACACACAGACCUCACCUGUGUGGACUGCCCAGCUGACUCUCCAGAGAGCCUCUCCGCCCACGGUCUGAUAGUGAUGGCUCAGUAGAGCUGGAGGACAUUUCCCCAACAUGGAGGAGGGAGGCAGCUGGUUAUCAUUUCCUGUGAAGAGCUUGAGCAAAGACCUGAGUCACUGUCGGAUCAGACCUGAGUCACCACCAGCCGCCUGCAGAGGAGCAUCCAAGGACACGACAGAGUCUGCAUGAAGAAACAGGAGCACCUCCAGCCCCGCUGUACAGUCUUUACCGUUAAAUAUUGCCCUGUGUGACACCACAGGGGUGCAUGUGUGUGAUACCGCAGGUGUCACACACACGCUGUGACGUAUCCACAGACGAUAUUUAAGUUAUCGAUCGAUUAGUCUGGAAACCUGCUCUUAUUCAGAAAAAAUAGAUCUGUGUCACUGUAAACUAAUCCAGAGUCUAUUAGAAAUUAGCUCAGUUUAAAUAAUUGUGUUUGUGGCCUUAAAUAUAAAACUAACACAGACUGACUUUCUCUCCUUGAGUUCAGCUAAUAAACGGUCCACUGUAUUAUAAAACCAUGAAUAAUGAAGUUGAAGCCACAGCCUUAAGGAACACGUAGAGUCAAACUGCAUCAACUGGUUUCAUUAUUAUUUAAGUUGAGGAUGUUUCAUGUGAUCAACACUCGAAGACCCAAUGUUUAGUUUGUCAUACUGUGCAGAAGUCUU